GUGUUGAAGCUGACAUCAAUUUUAACUUAAGUGAUUAUGAGGAGGAACUGAAGCAGAUGAAGAAUUUAACCAAGGAAGAAUUUGUACACAUACUUCGCAGACAAAGCACUGGUUUCUCAAGAGGUAGCUCGAAAUAUCGGGGGGUGUCACUGCACAAGUGUGGGCGAUGGGAAGCUAGAAUGGGCCAAUUCCUAGGCAAGAAGUAUAUUAUCUCGGGUUGUUCGACAGUGAAGUAGAAGCUG
rnacentral:misc_RNA from 1 species